rnacentral:tRNA from 1 species
UCCCUGGUGGCUCAGAUGGUAAAGAAUCCACCUGCAAUGUGGGAGACCUAGGUUCAAUCCCUGGGUUGGGAA